rnacentral:lncRNA from 1 species
GUACAAUUCAACUAUAAGAGGGCCCCGAUGCCGUACUGGCAACCAUUCUGUAACUCAUUCUUUCUGUGACCAUCGUGAGCCAACAUGACAACUCGUAGUGCAUAACUGUAAGUGGACAACAAUGUAUCAAUAAACUAUCGUUCUUAAGACAAAAAUACAUAUGAGCCGUCAAGGCCUCUGACAUACUGUACAAACUGAACCUCAGUCUACAAAGCCUCUAAGAUUAUUUGACAUAAAAUGGGACAGGGUACCUGCCUACCCAUAAGUCUGAAGUAAAACUCUGACGCGAUGACUCAUAGAUUUGGCUGCACUCCAAAUGAUGUAGAGUCUUACCGAUCCUUCGCUGAACGCUAACCUCGUCUAUAAUGAGGAUUCAUCAAAUUGAUUACUUAUACCUGCAAGCAUGAAUGCAUCGUCCACAACAAAAGGAUGUCAGUACAAACAAUAUAUCGAGUAUGUAAGGCAUGUAAAUCGAUAUAUAAAGGACAUGAAAGAAACAUGGAGUACAUGACUCAACCUGUAAGUCUGGAUAACUCUGUAUAUCAUUUAGUAUUUAUUGUGUCAUGCAUAUGCGUAUGAAUGUCAUGUCGUGCAUAGACACAUAUGUUCAUAACAUCAUCAAGCCUCUGAGGGCAUCCCAUCAUAUCAUCUCAGCCACUGUGGGCAGAAUCAUCAUCAUAUACCAGCUGAUCAGGUGGUGCGUAUAUAACGCCAUAACCUUUCCCAUAUCCCAUAUAUAUAUAUAUAUAUAUAUAUAUAUAUAUAUAUAUAUAUAUAUAUACGCGUAUAUAAACCAUAACAUCAUCACGCCUCUGAGGGCGUCCCAUCAUAUCAUUUCGGCAACUGUGGGAAAAUCAUCAACGUAUACCAGUUGAUCAGGUGUUGUUGCGUAUAUAACGCCGUAACCUAUACAUAUAUUUACAUAUAUACGCGUAUAUAACGCCAUCUGGUCAUGGGUCAAUGCACAUGUAUAAAUGGGUGAAAUGCAUGAAAAUACGUAUAAUCUCAAUAUUCCUUCCGGAUAAACUUUUUCAACUGCGUACUAUUCUGAGACCCAUGAACAAAAGAUAACAAAAAUUUUCAUAGGGAAUCAAGAAUAUAGACACCCCUAAUAUCUCUAUGAAUAGAGUAAUUUAUGGAAACUAUACGUUUGCUCGUUUCUUCAGUUUAUUUUGAACCAUGCCAAAAGAAAGAAGGAAUGACCUUAACAUACCUAAGAAAUAAAGUAAGAAGCCUGGAUUGGUAGAAGAAUUUCUAGAAUCCAAAUUUCCAUAAUAAUCUCAAUGAAGCUUCUACAGAACCAUAUGCUAGCAUGUAAUUUAUUUCCAUUAAGAUCCUUCCCUUAUCAAGUCUUGAUAUGGAAGAUGCUAAUUCUUUUACAUAAUGAAUUGUUUCUCUAGAAAAAUGAAAUCCUAAACGGCCUGCUAUCCUCACUCCACGCAAAAAUGCGAGCACAGUCCUCGAUGAAAGAAAUAGAGGAUCAAAACUUUAUUGAUUAUGUGUGGAAGGAAUUAUAAUACAGCUACAUAAUGGUUUGCUUAAGAAAAUGUGUUUCUUCAUAAGCAUUUCUGAAUACAUUUUACUGGAACCAUUCGUCAGAAAUACUAAUUUCCCUAUCCAACACUUCUACUUUAUACUAUUUCAAACUUGAUGUGACAUCUCUUUCAACUGCGUCAAUGUUUCACACUUCAAAAAAAUUUACUAACCUACUCCCCAACCAACUCAACACAUCAAUGCCAUCCUAGAGAAGAAAGACUUCAUAGACAUUUCAAAUGAAGAAAUCAUUCUAAAUUGCCUCUGUCAUUCAAAGCCCUCACACGGCUCAUGCAGCACUAAGUGAUUAAUCUUUUAGAUUACGCGCCAGAGAGCAUGGCAUAAAUACCUAAAUCAGGUAAUACAACCCUUUGAAUUUUCUUAGACAUCCCUAGUCAUAUUUUGAGACUUCUACAUCAUAAUCUCUGCCUAACUUCCCUACCAAGUAAUUCCCAAAAGCUAAAUUGCUUCCAUUGUAUAUCUCAACGAAUUGUGACUCUUUUUCUCUAAUUAAAUCAAUUCUUUACAAUAAGAGCUGCUCAAAGAUGUACUUAUUACACUAUUAUUUAGAAAUUUAACCUUAAUUUGAAAUAUUUUUAUCCUAAAAAUUAAAAUAAAGGAGAAAGAAGAUAAUGCUAGGAAUAAACUAAACUUACUAUCAGCUACACUCUUUCACAUGUAAACCCUCCUACCAUACAUUUGCUAAAGACGUAAAUCAAGAAAUAAAACUAAUUCACUUAUCAGUAGAAUAACACAAACCCAACAUUGAUUUCGUGUAAAAAGCUCAGAAUAAACAUACCAUUACCAAUAUUGCCAAGAAAUUUGGGGGGAAACAAUUCAACCAUGGCGUAAUUUCUCGUUAAAUGCAUAAAAUUAACGGUAAAAUAAACAACCAUGUUGCAAUUUGCUCAAGUGGGUAACGAAAGGAAAAGAAAGAGAGAUACCCCAACUUUUAAUGAGAUUAUGUCAGGUAAAAGAUACUAUGAGAUAAAUACCUUCAUGGUAUGUGCAGUAGUGCUGUACUCAUUAUCACGUUC